rnacentral:rRNA from 1 species
CCUUCGGGUUGUAAAGCACUUUUGUCCGGAAAGAAAACUUCUGCCAUUAAUACUGUGGAAGGAUGACGGUACCGGAAGAAUAAGCACCGGCUAACUACGUGC